UCUGGCUCCCUUAUGGCUGGUGAGGUGAAGCGAGAGCUGGAGAACUCCCUCUCUGCGUCACCUUCCCCAGCCAACUACACCAGCCUCUAUGAUAAGGAGAACUUCCCCACCCGUCGCUCACAAGCACUACACAAUAAGGGAGCCGCCGUCACUGGCAAGUUAGAAGUAAGAUUGAUUGGUGUUCAAGACCUCUGGAGGACGCUCCUGGCCGUUCCUCGCCGAGAUACAC
rnacentral:lncRNA from 1 species